GUCUACGGCUAUGCCACCCCGAACCAGCCCAAUCUCAUCUGAUCUUGGAAGCUAAGCAGGGUUGGGCCUGAUUAGUACUUGGAUGGGAGACCGCCUGGGAAUACCAGGUGCUAUAGGCA
ensembl:rRNA 5S_rRNA 5S ribosomal RNA